rnacentral:rRNA from 1 species
CGUAGUGGCCAAACCUCCCUGUCAGAGCCUGGUUGGGUGUCUUUUGUAAACAGGACUGGGCCUGGGCAGGACUUGGAUGGGAGACCGCUGGGAAUUCCAGGUGCCACAGGGG